rnacentral:rRNA from 1 species
GAUGAACGCUGGCGGCGUGCCUAAUACAUGCAAGUCGAGCGAACGGACGAGAAGCUUGCUUCUCUGAUGUUAGCGGCGGACGGGUGAGUAACACGUGGAUAACCUACCUAUAAGACUGGGAUAACUUCGGGAAACCGGAGCUAAUACCGGAUGAUAUUUUGAACCGCAUGGUUCAAAAGUGAAAGACGGUCUUGCUGUCACUUAUAGAUGGAUCCGCGCUGCAUUAGCUAGUUGGUAAGGUAACGGCUUACCAAGGCAACGAUGCAUAGCCGACCUGAGAGGGUGAUCGGCCACACUGGAACUGAGACACGGUCCAGACUUCUACGGGAGGCAGCAGUAGGGAAUCUUCCGCAAUGGGCGAAAGCCUGACGGAGCAACGCCGCGUGAGUGAUGAAGGUCUUCGGAUCGUAAAACUCUGUUAUUAGGGAAGAACAUAUGUGUAAGUAACUGUGCACAUCUUGACGGUACCUAAUCAGAAAGCCACGGCUAACUACGUG